rnacentral:rRNA from 1 species
GAGUUCAAGAGUACGUGAAACUGCUUAGAGGUUAAGCCCGAUGACCCUGAAUAUCCGUUAUGGAAAAUUCAUCAUUAAUUUUAUAAUAUUUAUCAUAUUGUAAUAAUAGUGUGCAAUUUUUCCAUAUAAGGACAUUGUAAUCUGUUAAUGUAUUAAAUAUUUAUUAAAAGAUCUUAUGCGUAAGUUUAUUUGAAUUAGUUAUUUUCGAAUUUCUAACAUAAAGUAAAUGCAUUUGAUUUAAUAAAUCAUUGACAGAUUUUAUUAUAUAUAGUGCUUAAAUUUUUUCGGAAAUUUUACAAUAGCAUGAUAAUUCUAUUUAUUAUGUUUAUUGUAUGCGCUUAUAUGAUUAACAAUGCGAUAGAUUCAGGAUACCUUCGGGACCCGUCUUGAAACACGGACCAAGGAGUCUAACAUAUGUGCAAGUCAUUGGGUAUUUUUAAUAAAACCCAAUGGCAUAAUUAACUUAACUGUUUUAUAUAUGGGAUUAGUUUAAAUUUUAUUAUGAAAUAUAAAUUCAAUCCCGGGGCGUUCUAUACAGUUAUGCAUAAUGGUAUUUAUAUUAUUUAUGCCUCUAACUAAGAGC